rnacentral:rRNA from 1 species
GGAAUAUUGCGCAAUGGGCGAAAGCCUGACGCAGCGACGCCGCGUGGGUGAUGAAGGCCUUCGGGUCGUAAAGCCCUGUCGGGAGGGAAGAAAUCUCGUCGACCUAAUACGUCGGCGACUUGACGGUACCUCCUAAGGAAGCACCGGCUAACUCCGUGCCAGCAGCCGCGGUAAUACGGAGGGUGCGAGCGUUGCUCGGGAUUACUGGGCGUAAAGCGCGUGCAGGCGGCCUUUUAAGUUCGGUGUGAAAGCCCGGGGCUCACCCCCGGAAGUGCAUCGAAUACUGGGAGGCUCGAGUACCGGAGAGGAGGGUGGAAUUCCUGGUGUAGCGGUGAAAUGCGUAGAUAUCAGGAGGAACACCGGUGGCGAAGGCGGCCCUCUGGACGGAUACUGACGCUGAGACGCGAAAGCGUGGGGAGCAAA